AAAUGCAAUCAUACCAGCACUAAUUCACCGGAUCCCAUCAGAACUCCGCAAUUAAGCAUGCUUGGGCGAGAGUAGUACUAGGAUGGAAGACCUCCUGAGAAGUUCUCGUGUUGCAUCCC
rfam:Arabidopsis thaliana chromosome 5, complete sequence.